CACAAGCGGUGGAUGAUGUGGUUUAAUUCGAUGCAACGCGAAAACCUUACCCACCUUUGACAUGGCAGGAAUCCUGAAGAGAUUUGGGAGUGCUCGAAAGAGAACCUGCACACAGGUGCUGCAUGGCUGUCGUCAGCUCGUGUCGUGAGAUGUUGGGUUAAGUCCCGCAACGAGCGCAACCCUUGCCAUUAGUUGCUACGAAAGGGCACUCUAAUGGGACUGCCGGUGACAAACCGGAGGAAGGUGGGGAUGACGUCAAGUCCUCAUGGCCCUUAUAGGUGGGGCUACACACGUCAUACAAUGGCCGGUACAGAGGGUAGCCAACCCGCGAGGGGGAGCCAAUCCCACAAAGCCGGUCGUAGUCCGGAUCGCAGUCUGCAACUCGACUGCGUGAAGUCGGAAUCGCUAGUAAUCGCGGAUCAGCAUGUCGCGGUGAAUACGUUCCCGGGUCUU
rnacentral:rRNA from 1 species